CAAGUCGAACGAUUAAAGCUCCCUUCGGGGAGUGCAUAAAGUGGCGCACGGGUGAGUAACACGUAAGUAAUCUACCCUCGAGUGGGGAAUAACGUUCGGAAACGGACGCCAAUACCGCAUAAUGCAGCGGCACCGCAAGGUGACAGUUGUUAAAGAUUUAUUGCUUGAGGAGGAGCUUGCGGCAGAUUAGCUAGUUGGUAAGGUAAUGGCUUACCAAGGCUACGAUCUGUAUCCGGUCUAAGAGGACGGUCGGACACACUGACACUGAAUAACGGGUCAGACUCCUACGGGAGGCAGCAGUCGGGAAUUUUGGGCAAUGGGGGAAACCCUGACCCAGCAACGCCGCGUGAAGGAUGAAGUAUUUCGGUAUGUAAACUUCGAAAGAAUAGGAAGAAUUAAUGACGGUACUAUUUAUAAGGUCCGGCUAACUACGUGCCAGCAGCCGCGGUAAUACGUAGGGACCAAGCGUUGUUCGGAUUUACUGGGCGUAAAGGGCGCGUAGGCGGCGCGGUAAGUCACUUGUGAAAUCUCUGAGCUUAACUCAGAACGGCCAAGUGAUACUGCAGUGCUAGAGUGUGGAAGGGGCAAUCGGAAUUCUUGGUGUAGCGGUGAAAUGCGUAGAUAUCAAGAGGAACACCUGAGGUGAAGACGGGUUGCUGGGCCAACACUGACGCUGAGGCGCGAAAGCCAGGGGAGCAAACGGGAUUAGAUACCCCGGUAGUCCUGGCCCUAAACGAUGAAUACUUGGUGUCUGGAGUUUUAAUGCUCCGGGUGCCGUCGCUAACGUUUUUAGUAUUCCGCCUGGGGAGUACGCUCGCAAGAGUGAAACUCGAAGGAAUUGACGGGGACCCGCACAAGCGGUGGA
rnacentral:rRNA from 1 species